ensembl:processed_transcript 5530601H04Rik RIKEN cDNA 5530601H04 gene
ACUUACAAGCAAGGUUCUAGAAGCAGGACGGUGGAAUUCUGGGAUGAAGAAGAAGAAUUUGCUACCUGUUUUGGAAGAACUAGCAGAGUGAGGGCACAGUGUCCUGUUUUACAGAUACUUGCUCAGCCACAUUCAUCACUGCUCUGUUCAUAACAGUUGGAAAUUGGAAACAACCUAAAUGCUUUCUCUCUCUGAUUUGUGGAUUCUAGAUCUGAAUCUUAAGAGGUGAGUGUAGAACCUGAAGUUAACACAGAAACCAUGAAGGUUAAAGGAGAGAAUGGGGAAGGGGUAAAAUGAGCUAUAAAGCAAGGGGAAGAGAACGAAUUGGGCAAUUAGAAAACUGAAGAGGCUUUAUCUAGCAGGAGGGAGGGCAAUCCAGAUGAAAAGGGAGGGAAGGGGGAUAAAGAGAACUAAAAGUCAUUGAAAAAGCCACAGCCAUUACAGAAACAUUAUUUUAGGUUUGCUUAAAAUAAAUAUGUAAUAUAAUUAAUAUAUGUAAAUGAAAAUGUAAUGAAGUUACAGCAAGUGUAGUGACAAUGCUCCCUCCAAUCCAGACUGCUUAACAAAAAUCUCUGGUGUCAGAUAUGGGACACUUCCCUUCAAGUUGUUGCUCAGGGGAGUUCAAGGGACUCCCCAAACAAUGAAAAGAUGUGGAAGGUUAUAACUUGAAGACAAAAUUAGAAGCAGACCAGCUUGAAGGUGGUAGAUGAUACAACACUGACAGUUGCAGAGUGAAUAAUGCCCUCUAGAACAAUUUGAUAUGAAGUAUAAAGGAGAAUUAGGGUCCUAGUGUGAACCACAGGCUUUCCAGCAAAACUGGGACGAGGGUGCUGUUACUGACUUAGAAGACACAGGAGGAAAGCUGAGUGCCAUUUGAGGAGCUUAGUUGGAAUAUCUUUUGUUUGUUUGUUUGUUUGUUUGUUUUGUUUUUUUGAGACAGGGUUUCUCUUGUACAGCCCUGGCUGUCCUGGAACUCACUUUGUAGACCAGGCUG